rnacentral:rRNA from 1 species
AUUGAACGCUGGCGGCAUGCCUUACACAUGCAAGUCGAACGGCAGCACGGGAGCUUGCUCCUGGUGGCGAGUGGCGAACGGGUGAGUAAUAUAUCGGAACGUACCCUAGAGUGGGGGAUAACGCAGCGAAAGUUGCGCUAAUACCGCAUACGAUCUACGGAUGAAAGCGGGGGAUCGCAAGACCUCGCGCGAUUGGAGCGGCCGAUAUCAGAUUAGGUAGUUGGUGAGGUAAAGGCUCACCAAGCCGACGAUCUGUAGCUGGUCUGAGAGGACGACCAGCCACACUGGGACUGAGACACGGCCCAGACUCCUACGGGAGGCAGCAGUGGGGAAUUUUGGACAAUGGGCGCAAGCCUGAUCCAGCAAUGCCGCGUGCAGGAUGAAGGCCUUCGGGUUGUAAACUGCUUUUGUACGGAACGAAACGGUGAGCUCUAAUACAGUUUGCUAAUGACGGUACCGUAAGAAUAAGCACCGGCUAACUACGUG